UACGUAGGGUGCAAGCGUUGUCCGGAAUUAUUGGGCGUAAAGAGCUCGUAGGCGGUUCGUCGCGUCGGCUGUGAAAUCCCGGAGCUCAACUCCGGGUCUGCAGUCGAUACGGGCGGACUCGAGUUCGGCAGGGGAGACUGGAAUUCCUGGUGUAGCGGUGAAAUGCGCAGAUAUCAGGAGGAACACCGGUGGCGAAGGCGGGGCGCUGGGACGGUACUGACGCUGAGGCGCGAAAGCGUGGGGAGCAAACAGG
rnacentral:rRNA from 1 species